rnacentral:piRNA from 1 species
UNCCUCUAUAUUGUAUGUAGAAAGUGCUGU